rnacentral:misc_RNA from 1 species
UUAUUUAGUUUUUCUUUUUGUUAUAAACAUCCUCGACGACUUUGGGAGUUUGAAGGGCGGGAAAGCGCCUCGGCGCGGCUUUUUCGGCCGGCUCCGACGCCCCCGAGUGCACGGGUGUGUGGAAAGAGAAGAGUCGAAGCCUCUAAAAAGAGCGCUCCUGUUCUUUCUUUAAUGAUCCUUCCGCAGGUUCACCUACGGAAA